GGCUACCAGCUGUGACCUAAGAAGCAAAGCGACAGUGAGGCUACGAUGUUCUUGAUUCUCUACAAUAAGAAAGCGAAAAAAUUUUGAACCGAAAAUUUUUUUUUUUGACUAAAACAUCCAUUUUGAGCUUAUGCAUUUCAACAAUUACGCAGAGACAGUGAGAAUACUUCCUCAAAAUGAAAAAGAAUUUUACCAAAGAGUCGAAAGUGUAGAAGAAAUAGGCCACUGGAAACGGUUAAAUACAAAUUUCUGAAAACAAUAACAUUUGACAUAGUUUGUGAUAUAUAUUUUUUAUUCAACUUUGUAACUUACAUUCGUUGAAGAGUUGUUUUUAUCUCAGUUUCCAGUUUAAGGCAUUUGUAAAAUGGGAAGAAGUAGAUCUCGGUCGCCUCCUGGCAGAAGAGAGAGACAUAGAAGCAGAUCACGAGAAAGGGAACGUGAUCAUGAUAGGAGAGUUAGAGGUAAG